rnacentral:rRNA from 1 species
CAAGGUUUCCGUAGGUGAACCUGCGGAAGGAUCAUUUUUGUAUUUGUUUUUCCUGCGCUUUAUUGCGCGGUAGACAAACUUUCACACAGUGUUUUUCUUUUUUGAAACUAUUGCUUUGGUCUGACUUUGAAAUAAGCUGGGCCAGAGGUUUUAAACUUCAAUUUUUUAUUGAAUUGUUUUUUUUUUUUAUUGUCAAUUUGUUGAUUUAAUUCAAAAAUCUUCAAAACUUUCAACAACGGAUCUCUUGGUUCUCGCAUCGAUGAAGAACGCAGCGAAAUGCGAUAAGUAAUAUGAAUUGCAGAUUUUCGUGAAUCAUCGAAUCUUUGAACGCACAUUGCGCCCUUUGGUAUUCCAAAGGGCAUGCCUGUUUGAGCGUCAUUUCUCUCUCAAACCUUCGGGUUUGGUAUUGAGUGAUACUCUUAGUCGAACUAGGCGUUUGCUUGAAAAGUAUCGGCAUGAGUCGUACUGAAUAGUGCUUUUUGGAACAUUUUCAAUGUAUUUGGUUUUUCCAACUCGUUGAGAAUUCUUUUUUGUGAAUUUUUGGUAUAUUUGGCUUUGCCUUUCAAAACAACAAACAAGUUUGACCUCAAAUCAGGUAGGACUACCCGCUGAACUUUAGCAUAUCAA